rnacentral:lncRNA from 1 species
GGUGUGCACAACUUUAGACACCAUCAUCCUGGAGCAGCACUGCACCCUCACUAGCCAGGGUGUUCAUGACUUCCUCAAGGCCAAGGCCACGUUCAAGACUUGGGACUUCAGUGAUGCACUUGUGCUGGGCAAGGUGGCUUCUCCGGUAUCUUAAUUUGGGAGGGCCUCAGUGCAUGGGCGCUGUCCAACCUCUGGUGCUGAAGCAGCCAAGAGACCCAAGCCUGCGUGGCUGCCUCUUAGGAUAUGACAGCACAGCCACUGGCCUCUACUGAAUCCUAUGCAACCUCAGAAGACACCCAGGAGUGAUGCCAUCACGUGGUGCAAGAGUUCUGAGGGACCGCAAUCCUGAAGACAUUGAAUGGCUGUGUUCCUGCUCAUUGCUGGAGGUACUGUCAGGGGCCCUGUCCUCAACCCCGGGUCUGACCCUUGCAGAUCAGGCAGGACAUUCUGGAGGAAUCAUGCCCUUGGAAGGAUCCCUGAGGAGUGACUGGUGGGUAUUGGUGGAUAAAUACCCCAGCUCCCUUGCUUUGGGUGGGAUGACUCUGAGGCACAUGUUCUGUGCUGUCUCUGCAGAUGUACCUGGCAGGGCUGAGUCCUGGCUGCCACAGGGGAAACUUUCUUGA